rnacentral:tRNA from 1 species
ACCGAAAUAGCUCAAUUGGGAGAGGGUUAGACUGUAGAUCGAAGGGUCCCUGGUUCGAUCCCGGGGUCCGGCA